CAGGGAGAGCCAUAAAACCCAAGCCUAACCAAUCAGAUCCUUUCUUGGCGCUGUGUCUCUAAAUGCUGGUGGAAAGCAUCUUCCUCUUAGCUCUGGAGAGCCGGGGUGAUGUCAGCCGGAAGCUGCCUGGGUCCUUGCUGUGCCCUGGAAGGACAAACUGCAUGGGUAUGAGGCCAGUGCAGAGAGAAGAGAGCCACCCCAGCCGAGCGGCCAUCCAGCUUCCCAGGACAGACUAAACAGGACGUGAAAAGACAGUCAGCAGCGUUUUCAGUCGGUGUGGGCAAACGUUGAAAUGAAGUGUUUCAGUUGAAGGAGCUUUGAUUUCUGAGACAAACUACUGCGGCCCUCUGACGGCUGGAGUCGAUGGCUUUCCAUGGGCCGAGAAGAUGGAAAAUUUCCUCCCGGCCAGAUCCAGGGCACCCUGAUGUCUGGGGCUGAGCUGUUUUUCACUAUUGUCUCAAGAUGAUGGACACAAAAUAAAUACUUAUUCAGUGUGACUC